rnacentral:rRNA from 1 species
AUUGAACGCUGGCGGCAUGCCUUACACAUGCAAGUCGAACGGUAACGCGGGGCAACCUGGCGACGAGUGGCGAACGGGUGAGUAAUGCAUCGGAACGUGCCCAGAAGUGGGGGAUAGCCCGGCGAAAGCCGGAUUAAUACCGCAUGAGACCUGAGGGUGAAAGCGGGGGAUCGCAAGACCUCGCGCUUUUGGAGCGGCCGAUGUCAGAUUAGCUAGUUGGUGGGGUAGAGGCCUACAAAGGCGACGAUCUGUAGACGGUCUGAGAGGACGACCAGCGAACCUGGGGCUGGGUCACUGCCCAGACUCCUACGUGAGGCCGCAGUGGUGAAUUUUGUACAAUGGGCUCAAGCUUGUUCCAGCCCUGCCGCGUGCGGGAAGAAGUACUUCGGGUUGUAAACGGCUUUGACCAUGGAAGAAACGCUCUGGGCUAAUACCCUGGGGUAAUGACGGUACCUGAAGAAGAAGCACCGGCUAACUACGUGCCAGCCGCCGCCGUAA